rnacentral:rRNA from 1 species
UACGUAGGUGGCAAGCGUUGUCCGGAUUUACUGGGCGUAAAGGAUGCGUAGGCGGACAUUUAAGUCAGAUGUGAAAUACCCGAGCUUAACUUGGGUGCUGCAUUUGAAACUGGGUGUCUAGAGUGCAGGAGAGGUAAGUGGAGUUCCUAGUGUAGCGGUGAAAUGCGUAGAGAUUAGGAAGAACACCAGUGGCGAAGGCGACUUACUGGACUGUAACUGACGCUGAGGCAUGAAAGCGUGGGGAGCAAACAGG